rnacentral:rRNA from 1 species
AUAUUAUACGACUCAUGUUCUUAUUUUGUUGGUUUCAGGAGCUAGAGUAAUGGUCGAUAGGGAUUGCUGGGGGCAUUUGUAUUAACGCGUCAGAGGUGGAAUUCUUGGAUUGCGUUACUACCAACUACUGCCAAAGCAUUUGUCAAGAAUGUUUUCAUUGAUCAAGAACGAAAGUAUGGGGAUCGAAGAUGAUUAUAUACCGUCGUACUCUAUACCAUAAACUAUGCCGACUAGGGAUUGGAGGUCGUUCUAUCUGUGACCCCUUCAGCACCUUACGAGAAAUCAGAGUCUUUGGGUUCCGGGGGGAGUAUGGUCGCAAGGCUGAAACUUAAAGGAAUUGACGGAAGGGCACCACCA